GAAAUGCGAUAAGUAAUGUGAAUUGCAGAAUUCAGUGAAUCAUCGAAUCUUUGAACGCACCUUGCGCUCCUUGGUAUUCCUUGGAGCAUGCCUGUUUGAGUAUCAUGAAAUCUUCAAAGUAAAUCUUUUGUUAACUCAAUUGGUUUCUUCUUUGGUAUUGGAGGUCUUUGCAGCUUCACACCUGCUCCUCUUUGUUCAUUAGCUGGAUCUCAGUGUUAUGCUUGGUUCCACUCGGCGUGAUAAGUUAUCUAUCGCUGAGGACACUGUAAAAGGUGGCCAAGGUAAAUGCAGAUGAACCGCUUCUAAUAGUCCAUUGACUUGGACAAUACUUUUAUGAUCUGAUCUCAAAUCAGGUAGGGAUACCCGCUGAACUUAAGC
rnacentral:misc_RNA from 1 species